CCCGCUGAACUUAAGCAUAUCAAUAAGCGGAGGAAAAGAAACCAACAGGGAUUGCCUUAGUAGCGGCGAGUGAAGCGGCAAUAGCUCAAAUUUGAAAUCUGGCACUUUCAGUGUCCGAGUUGUAAUUUGAAGAAGGUAUCUUUGGGUCUAGCUCUUGUCUAUGUUUCUUGGAACAGAACGUCACAGAGGGUGAGAAUCCCGUGCGAUGAGAUGUCUAGAUCUAUGUAAAGUUCCUUCGAAGAGUCGAGUUGUUUGGGAAUGCAGCUCUAAGUGGGUGGUAAAUUCCAUCUAAAGCUAAAUAUUGGCGAGAGACCGAUAGCGAACAAGUACAGUGAUGGAAAGAUGAAAAGAACUUUGAAAAGAGAGUGAAAAAGUACGUGAAAUUGUUGAAAGGGAAGGGCUUGAGAUCAGACUUGGUAUUUUGUAUGUUACUCUCUCGGGGGUGGCCUCUACAGUUUACCGGGCCAGCAUCAGUUUGAGCGGUAGGAGAAUUGCGUAGGAAUGUGGCUCGGCCUCGGUCGAGUGUUAUAGCCUUCGUCGAUACUGCCAGCUUAGACUGAGGACUGCGGCUUCGGCCUAGGAUGUUGGCAUAAUGAUCUUAAGUCGCCCGUCUUGAAACACGG
rnacentral:ncRNA from 1 species